rnacentral:rRNA from 1 species
GACGAACGCUGGCGGCGUGCUUAACACAUGCAAGUCGAGCGGUAAGGCCCUUUCGGGGGUACGACGAGCGGCGAACGGGUGAGUAACACGUGGGUGACCUGCCCUCAGCUCUGGGAUAAGCCUGGGAAACCGGGUCUAAUACUGGAUAUGACUCCAUGACGCAUGUUGUGGGGUGGAAAGCCUUGUGCGGCUGAGGAUGGGCCCGCGGCCUAUCAGCUUGUUGGGUGGGGNGAUGGCCUACCAAGGCGACGACGGGUAGCCGGCCUGAGAGGGCGACCGGCCACACUGGGACUGAGACACGGCCCAGACUCCUACGGGAGGCAGCAGUGGGGAAUCUUGCGCAAUGGGCGAAAGCCUGACGCAGCGACGCCGCGUGA